UUAUGCUGGGAGGGCCCAAUUGAUUAGCACUAUCCUUUUCUCCAUGCAAGUCUACUGGUCCUCUCUUUUCAUUCUUCCUAAGAGAGUUAUUAAGGAGGUGGAAGCUUUGUGUAAGUCCUUCCUUUGGUCUGGUCUUGACCUUAAGAAUAUUGGUGCUAAGGUUACUUGGGAUAGAGUUUGUGCCCCUAAAAAUGAAGGUGGUUUAGGUUUCAAGUCUAUGACUAUAUGAAAUAAAGCUGCGGUGGCUAAGCAUGCUUGGUUUUUGAUAUCUGGUAGUGAGCAAUUCAUGUGGUGUCAAUGGGUGAAAUCCUAUUUGUUAAGAGGCCAUAGCUUCUGGGAAGUUAAGGUUCCUUGUGACCCUUCUUGGGUGUGGAGGAAACUCUUAUCUAUGAGGGAGUCUGUGUUCCCUUUAAUCAAAUGCAAGAUUGGCAAUGGGGUUGAUGCCUUUCUGUAGCAUGAUAAUUAGCAUCCUUUUGGCUCCCUUUGGGCUAGGUAUGGUAAUAGAUUGGUGUACGACACUGCCUUAAAUGUUCAGUCUAAAGUGGCUUUUGUUGUGAGAGACGAUGGUUGGUGCUGGCCUAAUGCUUCCUCUUGGGUUGUGAAGGAAAUCCUUGCUCACACUCCUCCUGACCUUACUCCUUCCAUGGGAAAUAAUGAUAAAAUUAUUUGGCUCCCUCAAAAGGAUGGUAAGUUUAGCAUUGGGUCUGCUUGGCAUACUUGGAGAUCUAAUUGGCCUACUGUUUACUGGGCCAAUCUUGUGUGGAAUCCCUAUUCUAUUCCUCGAGUGGGUUUUAUCGUUUGGUUGGCUAUUCUGAGAAGGUUAAAUAUGGGUGAUAGAUUUGCUAAUUUUGGCAUUAGCCGUAGUCACAGUUGCCCUCUGUGUGGGUCCUUUGAGGAUGACCAUGACCACUUGUUUUUCAAAUGUAUCCAUUCAUCCAAAGUGUGGUUGGCUGUGCAAGCUGAAUGCAACUACUGGCAUAGCACUACUUGGCUGGGUCAUGUUGAGGUUGUGGCCAGGGAUUGCAAGGGUAAAUCCCUUGCCACAAUUAUCAAAAGACUAGCUUUCUAUUGCACUGUGUAUCAAACGUGGUUAGAAAGAAAUAACAGAAUUUUCAGCAAUGAUAAGAAACCUGAGGAGAUCAUUUUGAAGGCCAUUCUCUACAUGGUUAGAUAUAGAGCUCUCUCUCUCAGCAGUCUCAAUCUGAUAACUGGUUUUUGCAAGAGUGGAGGUUGCCUCCAACCAUCCUUAAAAUUGAGAGAAGUGUUAUCAACUGAGGGUUGAGUGUUUGAGAGAUUCAUAUUGUGGGUUAGAGUUUGGUGAGCUCUUAUAGUGAGACUCAUGUUUAAUCUAUUUUCUAAUGUUGUUUCUGUUUGCAGGUGUAACAUGUGGAAGCUUUUCUUUGAGGGAUGUGAGGUCACUAUAAGAGGGUUGAGUGAUGUUAGCCAUAUACAGAGUGCUAACUUAUUUAUUUACCUGCAAGUUUUGACAACUGGCUAGUACUUGGUUACUCUAAUCAGUGGUGGAGUAAGCACUGUGUUGUCCCCAUUGAGGCCAUAGCUUGUCAAAGGAUUACCAGGACCAGGCUGCAUUGCUGCGCCAGUCUAAGUGGAGUUCCUUCACAUGGAAAAUACUUUGUCUUUCCUUUUACUUUUUGUAAUGGUUGUAACUCUUUAUGGGUUUUUUUUGUUUCAGUUCUUACAACUGGGAUGUUUUGUAUAAGUGUAAUAUUUGGGUUUGUAACAGUUUUCCUUCGUGUUCCUUGAGUUGGUCUAAGGCUUGUGCCAAUGGUUACAUAGGUGUUCUUGAACAGUUUUGUAUUUAACUGGUCUAGAUUAUAUUUCUAUUCUUGAAUAGUUUUGUA